GGGCGUGGAACUUGAAUCUGCUCUCAUCAGCCACGCUCGUUCACCAGAUACACAUUUGAAGCAGUUCUAACAGAAGAAAGGAGUGUUUUGGGCAGUAAUGCGCCAUAACGUUGGAUGCCAACCGCUGAUAAACCCCACAGGCGAAGAGUGUAGUUGUUGAUUGCUAAAUCUCGGUUGGGAAUAUGCAUGUUUACCGUUGAUCUCCGGUAUGUGUGAGGAGAGGAGCGGCGCAGGCUUUCUAAUUAAACUCUUCAAUUCAACUUUUGAGGAUGGUGCCCCAUAAUGCUUGAAAUGCUACUCAGCUCAAUGUGCUGGGACAGAUAGAGCUGACACAACAUGUAUAACACUUGUGAAAAUGCCAGAUCAAGAGAAUGGAGCGACGGUGACGGAUACAGCUGCCAUAGUAUGACUCACUGGGAAGGUGAUCCCCCAGCUGGAGAAAGACAGUACCUCACCCAACAGGCAAGGGAACACCAGUGGCUGAACCGUGAGGAUGAAGCUGCCGUGCGGGCCCACUACAACUCCCAUCAACAAAACUCUCAGAUGGACUUCCGUGGACAUCGGACACAAGAGACCCAGCCGCCUCCUCUGUAUCAUCAGGACCAUCACAGAAGUCAGAACAUAAGGGAUAGGCCCAAUCUCUAUGGACCCUUGAGAGAACAGGCACCUCCUAAUGUAACCUUACACUGCAGUGGAGAGAGAACAGAAACGUGGGCUAACCAUGAACCCCACUUCCCCAGCAAUGACUUUUUACCCCCACUCAACGUCGAAAGAGGGCAUGAGGAUAUUUCCCAUCACCAUAACACCGACCAGGAUUAUCUGGUGAAUAAUAACAAUCUCCAUUACUUGGAAAGCAAAUGGCAGAUGUUCGAUCCCACCCAUUCCAAUGGACAUGCUAGAGGACAUUGCAAUGUACAUUCAAGGGGAUAUUUUACUGAAUGCUCAAGGGGACGUUCUAGGGGUGGUUCCCGUGAAAAUUCUAGGGGUGGUUCUAGUGUAUGUUCUUGGGGUGGUUCCAGGGGUCGGUCUAGUGGACGUUCUCGGGGUGGUUCCAGGGGUCGGUCUAGUGGACGUUCUCGGGGUGGUUCCAGGGGUCAGUCUAGUGGACGUUCGGGGGCCCAUUCCAAAGCAGCCAGCCAUGGUAUACUAGGACCUAGUGUUCCUUCCCAAGCUAUAACACAAAAAACAGAUAAUCUUCCUGGCAAUGUUGCUCUUGUUUCUCACACCCAGACCUCUGUCACCACUGACCAGCAAUAUGCUCCCUCUCCUCCCAAACCUCUCAGUGAGACACUUCAGGAAAAACCUCCUGAUAAACACAAGAUCUCACUCAAUGAAAUACAGGACUGGCUCCACAGUGUUUUAAGAUCUAAAAAUGGACCCAUAAAUGGGAACAACUCAACACAAGACCCCUCCCAGGCACAACAAUUCAGCACAGAGAAGAUGGAUAUUUUACAAGCAGGCAAAAGGCACCUACAUAGUAACACCAAAGACAACCAGGCGAGGCCCCCUGAGAGGUUUAGUCCUGAGGACUCCACUAUACGGCUGGAGAUUAAGUCCACCCCCAGGUGCAUGACCCUGACGGCAGUCGCCACCACACCGCCCCCUGUGGCUAUUGUCCCUCCAAUGGGUCCACAGCAGUCCCCAGAGCCAAUGGAGACAGAGAAUACAGGCAAUGAGCUGCCAUUUAAGAUUUUACGGGCCUGGUCCAUCAAAGAACAACAAGUGGAAAGCCUGUGGGAAAGAGCUAAAGAUGAUGCAAGUUCUCUCUCUGUCCGAAAUGAGCCGGUUCAAGUUGAGAGUUUUAUGGAGUAUGAUAAGCCUGUAGAUGCAUUUGCAACAAGUUCACUGGCAUCUACUGGAGAGGACAAUGAUGAGGUCCUUCAGGUCAUCACACAGACGGACAAGAGUUCACCUUCACCAUUUGUCCACACCAUCCCUCAGGCAACUGAUAUUGUACGCAAAGGAGGUACCCAGACAAUCGUGGAAGUUAGCUCCAACGGCGCAGAUGAGAGAUCUCUUGUUCUGUCCACAAUUGCUGAAGUUCAGUUCAAGUUACGUACGCUGCAGCAACUGGUUACUUAUCGGGAGAAUGCAGCAACAAUCACAGAGGCAAAGGAUGGUUGUCUAGAAGCCAUAUUGGAGCAGUAUUGGGGCGGGGAAACCUCUAACCUGGUAGAAGCUUUAAAAGAUAAAAGGGAUAAGGAAAUCAUGCGAGAUGUGUCUGCCUGGGCCGCAGAGGAUGAGGAAGCAGUGGUUCUCUUUGCAGUCAGUGGUAUAUCACUGGAGGAAGUGGUCGAGAAGUUUCCCAUUCCAGCGCAUGUUGACAGCUCUUCCCAAGUGGGUUACAGGUCAUCCUGGUUAAAUGUCAACGAGAAGCUGAAUGACAUUGACAAAGAAUCUGGAAGAGCUUGGUCUCUCUGGUUCAUACCAGAUAAAGCAGAGGAGAGUUCCAAAGUUGUUGGGGGAGUCAAAAUGGAUGACACCUUCCACAGCAAGAUGGAGACUGUGGAAUUUCCUGCACGACAACCUGUUGAAGCAACAGGCUCAGACCUCACAAAAAACAUAGACCUCAUGAUGGUUGCAGACUCCUCAACAGACACAGACCUCCCAACAGAUGCAGACUUGGAGACCGAACCCCUUUCCCCAAUGAUUUUGACCGUCCUCACACCAGAGGAUGCUGUGAAACUGCUUGCUGAAACAGAGGCACCAGGCGCAGACCUCACAACAGACUCAAACUGCCCAACAAAUGCAGACCUCACAACCGACUCGGACACAGACCCCCUUUCCCCAAUGCAUUUGACCGUCCUGACAUCUGAGGAUGCCAUGAGACUGUUUUGCCAGAUCGAAAAUGGCUCUGACCUCCAACUCGGGUCCCAUGAACCAUGCUCUGAAGACAAAGACGAGACAAAGACAAAGCAACAAGAGAAUAUAGAAAGUGGCAGCUUAGAUAAGUCCUGCUACUGUCCUUGUAUUAUUGAAACUGACAAUGGGUUUGAAAGUGGCCUAUGCACCAGUUGUCAGAGGGAGAAAGGACUGCAGCAAGGUACAAGUUGCUUAACAAUCGCUCAAUGCUUUACCCUGUUAGAUACAAGCGACAAUUCAGAUCAGGAGACAGAAGAGGUCCCUAAGGACUCUGGGGGGAAGGCGACUGGGGACAAUCAAUGCAGGGACAAGAAGCAGAUGAUACAAUCAACUGAAGAAGAGGGUGAUGACAAUCAAUCCUGUGACAAUAAGACAGAGGGAGAAAUGCAGCAAUGUACAGGUGUCAUACCGAUCACUGACUUUUUUUUCUGGUCAGAUACAAUUGAGGAUUCAGAUCAGGAGACAGAGGAGAACCCUAAUGAACAACAUGCUCAGAUUGAGGCUCAUGCUUCUAAUGUUAAAAGGACAGAGCCUGAAACUGAUGCCAAAGCACCCUGUGAGUCAGCCCAAGAACAUACUACCCAAAGCAAAGUCAGUCCUGGUUCUGAGGAUAGGGAAAUGCCGCAAGAGAAGGACCAAGACUGUAGGAGGAGUACAUUACCAAUUCCCAAGUUUGAAAACCCUUCUAAGUUAAGAGCUAUCAUCAUAGCAGACAAGUGGUGUUCACCUGUAGAGGACUGUGGUUCACCUGCAGAGAAGUAUGACAAAGUUGCUGACUUUGUCACUCAAUACAAAACCUGCAACUCAAAGAAAAAUGGAAAAGAAAAAAUGGAAAAGGAGGAAACCCUCCAUCCAACAUCAUCUGACAGACAAAAGCCCAAGAAACGCCAUGGGAGAGCAGAGAGAGGACAGUCACCAUCCCAACCCCCUAAGAGCUCUGGGGUGAAGGCAACUUUGAAUAAUCAACGCAGGGACAAGAAGCCACAUGCGUCACACAAGAGGAGACAUUUGACUGAGAGGGAUGAAAGUCGAUGCAAAGACAAGAAGAGGGGAUCAUCAACUGAGAAAGAGCGUGAGGGCAGUCAAUCCAGGGACAAUAAGCCACCGAAGAGGAGACAUUCAACUGAGAAUGAGAGUGAGGAUAAUCAAAGUAGAGGCAAGAAGGGGAGACUUUCAAUGGAACAACUGGGUGAGGCCAGUCAAUCUAGUGACAAAACGUCGCAGAAGAGGAGAAAUUCAAAUAAAACUGAAAGCAGGAACUCCAAAGAGUUCCAGUUCCAGUUGGUGGAAAGCGACAGAGGCAGUAAGAAGUCAUCGCCGUGCCCUGGGGUGAAAACCCUCCAUGUGCUGGGAUCCUCAUCUACCACUGUUCCUCUCAAACUCUCCCUAAACAUCCGCAAAAAGCCUUCCACAAAUGGCUCACCCUCAACACAUACUGAGGAAGUCGCCAAAAGGCCAAAGACUAAAACCCCAUACAAAACUAGCAGACACCACUCCCCUGCAAUGUCAGUGUCUCCUGUUGUCAAAGAGAGGCAGAGGAACGGUGUGAAACACAAGCAAAAAAUUCAACCCCUAAAAGUCAGAUUGAAAAAUCUGUCCUUACCCAAACAUCUUGUCAGGAAAGGUUCCCCACCAAGGCAGAAGAGGGUGGAGGAUAGAGGAGACCCUCUGAGUUUAGGGGUAAUGGUCUCUAAGAAUCCUGACUCGUGCAAGAAACUAAAACGUAAGGCAGAGAGCGACUUGACAUCCCAACAGAUGUUGUCAAAGAUUCCGAAGGUGUUGAAUAGGAAUAAGACAGGAAAGUUGUCAAAAAGCGAGCGUGAGUGCGACUCGCUGCCCCGCAAGCCAAAGCUGCCAAGAAUUCUGAAGCUUCUAAGAACUCCAGAGGUUUCAAAGGAUGGGAAUGAGAGAGAGAACAGAGAAGAGACAUCUCCCAGUGCUUCACCUGAAUCACAAAUGCUGAACAAACCUGCAAGAGUGGCACACAAGCCCAAACCUUGUAUCAAGCCUGCCAGUCCCAAUGGUUAUAGCCCAGGUAGUCAUGCUUGCUCUAAUCCGGCUAGGAUAUCACAGCAACAUAGCAAUGGACAUUUUGGGGCAAAAGUUACUGCGAGGCAGCAGGUGUUCUCAGAUUGGGAGAGCAGCUUUGUCCCGACUCCAACCCCCCGGACUCGUAGACGAUCAGGGUGUUCUCCAGAGGAAGUGGAAGGUCCACAGGCCAGUCCCAGGUGCAGCUCGGAGACCAGGAUCAUUCGACCCAUUCUAAAACGUGUCGAUGCUCCGCCAAAACCCAAGCGGAAUGUCAGCUUUCCUUUGAAUCCAAUGAACGUGCACUACUUCAAUCCCCGUGAAUAUGAAAAUCACGUAAUGUUCAACAGGUCUUACACAGAUCCGGAAGAUGCACAGCCUUCUGACGAUGAAGAGGAAGAUGCUUCUGUGAACUGCCAGAAUCUGAAGGAACAGUCCCCUCUUAGGGAAGAGAAGCGGCAAGAUCUAGGGGAGCUGAAGCCUGGACCAAGCGCUGCAUGUGAAAAGAGCUUCAAAAGGAAGCGGGAAAUGCAGGAGCCUGCUCCCAUUUUGAUGAAGAAGAGCAUUGUUCAGGCAAAGCAUUUGACAAAGUCUCUCCAUCAUGAACCUCCAAAAGACUCCAGACACUCGGCGAGAAAAACUGGAGUUGGUUACAAGUGGUCAGAGAAGCAGAGGAAGAGGCCCAAUGAAACUGAAGGUACGUCGCAGGCUAUGCCAGCCUCACAUGAACUUCCCGUACAUAUUUGCCCAUGGUAGAAGAUGUGAGAAAGUGACUUUUUGGACCAGAAUGCCAAAACAUUCAGGAGAUAGAGGUGCCCAAAGUUGACGAUUUUGCAUACCCUACCGUACAUCCAUGUCUUCAUCACUGGAAAGGUACCUCUCUGAAUGCAAGCCUCCCUCACGGUCACCAUCCAGGUUCCUCUCAGGAUGUAAGCCUCCCUCACGGUCACCAUCCAGGUUCCUCUCAGAAUGUAAGCCCCCAUCGUGGUUACCAUUCAUCCUCCAGCCAAGGGAGAAGAGUUGAGCCAAUGGCCAGUCACCAUAGCUCUCCUGUGGGCGAAUGGAACGAGCGGUGGUCAGGAGAUUUGUAAGCAUAUCAGUCGGCUCUGACAGGAUACACGAGACGGGAACAGUAGUUGAUGGCAACUGGCAAAGACAAUACUUUUACCUCAAACCUGACAUUAUUCAUAUGCUGUUCUUUAAAAAAAACUUAACAUUACAGACAGCCAUAUUUAGGCUACAUUAUGCAGUUUACUUUUCUACAUGUUUUUAUCUGUUUUUAAACGAAUAGACAUCUGAUUUCUCUCCCUAUAUUAGGUUCGGUUAGCUGUGGUUGAAACCGUCAGACGUAUGUUUUAUAUACCAUGUGUUACUGUUACUCUUGACACCUAAGGGUGAUUGGUGUCCGGUUACUCGUACUCUUAUAGUAUUGUUUGCCUACAUUGUUAGAGCGUCAUAGUGAUUGAAUCAUCAUAGUGAUUGAAUCAUCAUAGUGAUGGUAUUGUACAUUGUAUUAAGUUUGUUUAGUCUUUUUUUUAAAUUGACUAUUUGUUUUAUUGCAGCCAGAACCAAAGCUAAAGGGGAGAAACCAGACUGAGCUUAUUGUUUUAUGAGAUUCUGCUGUCUCAUACACAAAGAAAUGUGUCAAUUGUAACAUUUUUUUUUUUAACACUGGUGAUAAAAUGAAUCAUAGAUAUCCGUCAUCAAAUGAUAUUUGAAGCCAUUGUCACUUUGUUUGAUGUGGUUCCUUGGACUGGCUUUACAGUUAUCUGUGGCCGUAGAUGUUGCUUGUAGUUAAAUUCAACUACUGCUAAUGUUUUGGCUAUUGUGGAAUGGUGUGUACUUUACAGGUCACUGGUUUUAUACUCCGUCUUAAACAUUGGUCGAAAUGCCAUUUUUGUUUUUAAUAUUUGUCCGUUUUGAUAUUGUACUGUUUUAUUUUACCUCUGAUGUUUACUGUGUUGUUAUUGCACUGAACUAAUAUAUAAAUACAGAAUAUGUUUUUGUUGUAACCUGUCCUCUCAGACUACACAGCAUCCAAGGAAGAGAAUUGUAUUAUUUACCCUUCACCACCAGCCAAAGACCACAUUUGAGACACACACAGUUACGCCACCAGAGGGAAGCAAAGUACAAUGUUAAUGUUCCUUUCAUUUCAGUCACUCGCUUGUGCAAGGCUUCUCCCUUCUCCUAUGUGUUGAGACUUGAGAGACUCACAUAGGUGAGUGGAUCAGAACAGAUAACAGAAUCUUCAGUCAUGUUUUCUGUUUCUACACAACACUUAUUGUGCAUUUAUUGAAGAAAGCCAAGCGGAAACUGCUGCCUACAAGGACCAAGGGUGGUGGAGGCCUGUUGAGAAUGUAUAGAAUAUAUAAGGCAUGAGGGUGUGUGGUAUAUGGCCCGCGUUGUGUCAUGCCUAAGAACAGCUCUUAGCUGUGGUAUAUAAAAUAAAAAUCCUUUAUUUAACUAGGCAAGUCAUUUAAGAACAAAUUAUUAUUUACAAUGACAGCAUACACCAACCAAACCUGGGCCAAUUGUGCACAGCAUGGAUUCGAAGCAGGGUGUCGGUAGUGACACCUCUAGCACUGAGAUGCGGUCUAAGGCACUGCUGCGCCAUUCAGGAGCCACAAAAUUGGUCAUAUACCACAAAUCCCCGAGGUGCCUUAUUGCAAUUAUAAACUCGUUACCAAAGUAAUUAGAGCAGUACAAAUAACUUUGUCAUACCCGUGAUAUACCGUCUGAUAUAACACGGCUGUCAGCCCAUCAACGUUCAGGGCUCAAUCCACCCAGUUUAUAAUAAAAGAUAUCUUUUCACGAGUUGAAAAGUCCUAAACUUGCA